GACGCUUGAGUAACAUCCGGAGAUAAUGAAUAAGCAAUAAACUUCUGUUUUUUGCAACAUGAUUACGAAAAAGAGAGGCAAUAUCUCCCUGUUUCUUCAUAUUUUAGUCACUACAAAAAUGAUGGUAGUAAAUCAACAAUCAAUAAGACAAAAAUCCUAAAUCCUAAACCAGCAGGCAGCAACUCGUACCAAUCACCAGCAGUAGGCAGCAAUUCGCCAGACGCCAGGGAGAUCCAGCGCAGUAGCAGGCAGCAGGCGGUCUGGGCAUUCAGCCGCGCAGCGACGGCAGCUGGCAGCGCGCAUUCGCCACUCCACUACUCCGGCCAGUAGCGCCAGGAAGCCAGCCAGCCGCCAGGAACUCUUCUCGCAGUCGCCAGGUAUCCAGCCGCCAGGGCGCCAGGAAGGCAGGAACAGGCACAGGCGAACAGCCGUAAGGAUCGAAGAGCUGGAGAAGUUGAAAUGGCCUUCGGGCUUC
rnacentral:lncRNA from 1 species